AGGAUGAACGCUGGCGGCGUGCCUAAUACAUGCAAGGUCGAACGAGGUCUUCGGACCGAGUGGCGAACGGGUGAGUAACACGUUGGUACCUACCCCGAAGUGGGGAAUAACUGCCCGAAAGGGUGGCUAAUACCGCAUAAUACCGCAAGGUUAAAGCAGUAAUGCGCUUCGGGAGGGGCCUGCGUCCCAUUAGCUAGUUGGUAGGGUAAUGGCCUACCAAGGCGACGAUGGGUAGCUGGAUCGAGAGGUUGACCAGCCACACUGGGACUGAGAUACGGCCCAGACUCCUACGGGAGGCAGCAGUAAGGAAUCUUCCACAAUGGACGAAAGUCUGAUGGAGCAACGCCGCGUGCAGGAUGACGGCCUUCGGGUUGUAAACUGCUUUUAUAUGGGAAGAUUAUGACGGUACCAUAUGAAUAAGGACCGGCUAACUACGUGCCAGCAGCCGC
rnacentral:rRNA from 1 species